rnacentral:misc_RNA from 1 species
AACUGAUACUACCUGCGGGAACCUGCGGAGGGAUCAUUACCGAGUGUUGAUUGUUAUGCAAUCGCCUCCCACCCUUGAUUAUUUAUCCUGUUGCUUCGGCGAGACGUCUUUUUGGAAAAAAAAGCCGUCGACUAGAUGGAUACGACUUCACUGAAGUUUGUAUUUUGUGGGCGUGAGCUCGCCGAAGGUUUUCAAACUCUGAUAAUUUGAAGUCUGAAAAUUCAAAAAAUUGAUUAGAAA